rnacentral:pre_miRNA from 1 species
AGGGGGAGGCCGGAUCUUGGGCUGUGUCCCCAGCUCCCUGUCUUCCCAGGCCUGUGCUGUUGGAUUCGCCCUCCUGGCCGGCAGCCCCCU